GACGAACGCUGGCGGCGUGCUUAACACAUGCAAGUCGAACGGUGAAGCUCCAGCUUGCUGGAGUGGAUCAGUGGCGAACGGGUGAGUAACACGUGAGCAACCUGCCCCUGACUCUGGAAUAAGCGCUGGAAACGGCGUCUAAUACUGGAUACGAGAAGGGUCCGCAUGGGCACUUUCUGGAAAGUUUUUCGGUUGGGGAUGGGCUCGCGGCCUAUCAGCUUGUUGGUGAGGUAAUGGCUCACCAAGGCGACGACGGGUAGCCGGCCUGAGAGGGCGACCGGCCACACUGGGAGUGAGACACGGCCCAGACUCCUACGGGAGGCAGCAGUGGGGAAUAUUGCACAAUGGGCGAAAGCCUGAUGCAGCGACGCCGCGUGAGGGAUGACGGCCUUCGGGUUGUAAACCUCUUUCAGCAGGGAAGAAGCGAAAGUGACGGUACCUGCAGAAGAAGCACCGGCUAACUACGUG
rnacentral:rRNA from 1 species